AUGCGAUAAGUAAUGUGAAUUGCAGAAUUCAGUGAAUCAUCGAAUCUUUGAACGCACAUUGCGCCCUCUGGUAUUCCGGGGGGCAUGCCUGUCCGAGCGUCAUUACUGCCCUCAAGCGCGGCUUGUGUGUUGGGCGCCGUCCCCUUUCCGGGGGGACGGGCCCGAAAGGCAGUGGCGGCGCCGUGUCCGGUCCUCGAGCGUAUGGGGCUUUGUCACCCGCUCCGGAGGCCCGGCCGGUCGCCGCCGACCCAACCCAAAUUUUUUACCGGUUGACCUCGGAUCAGGCAGGGAUACCCGCUGAACUUAA
rnacentral:misc_RNA from 1 species